CGAAGAUUCUGUCGAGACUAACCACGUCUCACCAAACGUCUUAAAAUAGAUUUUCCAUAUACGCGCAGUGUUUUUUGUCUCAUCUAGGUCCACCCAACAAGCGUAAAACAUGUUUGCCGGAGAUACGCUUUUUUAAGCGUCGUUUUCGCGGUUUUAAUAGGAGAUCAUAAUCAUAAUCCCUGUAUUGCAGAUGUUCCAUUUGUGCUACUUUUGACAAUUACACGCCUUCGCCUUUUGUCGCCAAGUCCUAUAAAUUAACAAGGUUGAUGAAUAGAACGCCGCGUUUCUGGCACGUGGGGGUGAAGCAGACGGAACUACAAUAAAACAAGCACUGGGUCAGAGAUCAGACUGUUGGAGAAAAGAUGAAAAUCACAACAGUACUUCUAUUUGCAGUUGUUGUACUUCUGUUUGGAAUGGCUUGUUCCAAGAGUGUCAGAGAAGUCUUUGAAACAAAAGACAUGACUGAUGACUUCGAAGAUGAAGGAAAUCAAGCUGACUUACAAA